rnacentral:misc_RNA from 1 species
GCAGGCAGUCUAAUUCAGUUUAUUCACAAUAAGCAUUUCACAUUGCCAUAAUGUCACACAAUUUAUACUACCAAGUGACGAACGAGACAACCAAUGCUAUUGGCAGAUGAUGCAAUUUUGAAGCCUAAUUAAACCUUCAAGGCCUCCAUCUCCCUCUCCACAAUCUUACACCUCACCAAGCUCCCAAUAGUAUUCAAAACCAUCUUCACAUCUUCCCAUCUAUCCCCAUUAGCCAAUUUCUUAUACAAAUAGCUAUCAAAUGUCAUUCUCUGCACAUACUCAUCUCCACAUAGCUCUACCAAUGCUUCUCUCGCUGCAUUACUACCAUAAAACACUCUCUGCAGCAAGUCCAAGAAUCUGAAUGUUUUCAUGAACUUCCUAUCCCACUCUCUCAAAUACUCUCUCUUUAAAUCUUCUUCGCUUACCAUCUUCUCCCCUCCCUCAGAAGCCUUCACUAUCGCCUCUCCGCACAUUCUUCCUGACUUCGCCGGAGCACUUUGUCAC